rnacentral:rRNA from 1 species
UACGUAGGGUGCAAGCGUUAAUCGGAAUUACUGAGCGUAAAGCGUGCGCAGGCGGUUUUGUAAGUCUGACGUGAAAUCCCCGGGCUCAACCUGGGAAUUGCGUUGGAGACUGCAAGGCUAGAAUCUGGCAGAGGGGGGUAGAAUUCCACGUGUAGCAGUGAAAUGCGUAGAGAUGUGGAGGAACACCGAUGGCGAAGGCAGCCCCCUGGGUCAAGAUUGACGCUCAUGCACGAAAGCGUGGGGAGCAAACAGG